CUGGGCUCGGAGGACACACAGCCCUUGCACGCCCAGGAGUCAGUUCCAGCAGGCUCCGCGUUUCAUCUCAGAGAUUCCAGAUUGAGCUGUCAACCUGGACACCUGCCCCAAAGGGGGCCCAGGACUUCACAAGGGGGUUGUCGCCGGGGACGGGCUGCCCGUUUGAUUAAUUUCUAGCUAAUCCAUCUUUGAUUUCUAGAGGCUGAAAAUCUAGUGAGGGGCAAGCCUUGGCUGGUAUGAACCAUUUGGUUUUAAUACUAGUUCUUAAAAUAUUGACAACAAAUACUGAGCUUCAUCUCAAGCCCCUGGAGUGCCUUCCUCUACCCAGGCCAGCAUCCCCCGCCCCGCCGGGAAAUCCGCACUAUCCAGCAGUGAAAGGGUUAACGCCUGGCUCAGUGGGAGACCCUGCCCCAGCCCAGGAGUCAUCAUCCGUUCUGAUUGGUCAGCCCUCCAGAGGCCCCUGAUUGUUAAACAUUCUGUACGUGACUCUGGAAGCGGUGCUUACUCUAAACCAGCCACAGGGCAAAAUACUGCAGAUGUCAUCGGGGCCGAAGCAAGUCGACCACUCAUCCAUCCAGUGGGCAGCAAGUUUCUUUGGAAGAUGUCCACCCUCACCCAUGCUGGGCCAGGCCCCUUCUCCUGUCACCUGGUUCUUUCCUCCGCCUCCAACCUUAGCCUUUUCCCUGGCCUCCCCGACUUCACUACAAGCUCCCCAGCCAAUGCAUCUUCCACUCACGGCCAGCCAGACGGAUGUGGUCACACCAGCUGGCUUCUUGCUGUGCUCAGGACGAGUCCCACAUCCACCCCUGUGGAGCCCACCAUCCCCAGCACUCAGUUCAUUGUGGGUGGCCCAGCGUGCAGUGACGGUUAGCCCUAUGUAGACCUUAGGGCCGCCUGGGGAGCUGGCAUAGAUACCCACCCUUGGGCCCACCUUGGCCGAAUGAACCAGAGUUUCCGGGAGUGGACCAAACGUGAGUAUGAUUUUGAAACCUCCCAGAUGAUCCUAAUGGGGCUGAGAACCGCUGGCCUGCGUCUGGGUCCGAAGGCCGUGUGGUGGUCAAAACGAGUCCCAGGAAGGCACGGAUGGUGUAGGGUGGGGCCGUGGGGCUGGGAGCUGUGAAUCACUUCUCACCC
rnacentral:lncRNA from 1 species